GAUGAACGCUAGCGGGAGGCCUAACACAUGCAAGCCGAGCGGUAUUGUUUCUUCGGACAUGAGAGAGCGGCGUACGGGUGCGUAACACGUGUGCAACCUGCCUUUAUCUGGGGGAUAGCCUUUCGAAAGGAAGAUUAAUACUCCAUAAUAUAUUGAACGGCAUCGUUUAAUAUUGAAAGCUCCGGCGGAUAGAGAUGGGCACGCGCAAGAUUAGCUAGUUGGUGAGGUAACGGCUCACCAAGGCGAUGAUCUUUAGGGGGCCUGAGAGGGUGAUCCCCCACACUGGUACUGAGACACGGACCAGACUCCUACGGGAGGCAGCAGUGAGGAAUAUUGGUCAAUGGGUGCAAGCCUGAACCAGCCAUCCCGUGUGAAGGACGACUGCCCUAUGGGUUGUAAACUUCUUUUGUAUAGGGAUAAACCUACCCUCGAGAGGGUAGCUGAAGGUACUAUACGAAUAAGCACCGGCUAACUCCGUG
rnacentral:rRNA from 1 species